rnacentral:rRNA from 1 species
CCCUUAGAUGUUCUGGGCCGCACGCGCGCUACACUGACGAAUGCAACGAGCUUAUAACCUUGGCCGAAAGGUUUGGGUAAUCUCCAAAUUUCGUCGUGAUGGGGAUAGAUUAUUGCAAUUAUUAAUCUUCAACGAGGAAUGCCUAGUAAGCGCAAGUCAUCAGCUUGCGUUGAUUACGUCCCUGCCCUUUGUACACACCGCCCGUCGCUCCUACCGAUUGAAUGGUCCGGUGAAGCGCUCGGACCGCGGCCUCUUGACGGUUCGCUGUCGAUUGGCUGUGGGAAGUUCGUUAAACCUUAUCAUUUAGAGGAAGGAGANGUCGUAACA